UACGAAGGGAGCUAGCGUUGUUCGGAAUCACUGGGCGUAAAGCGCACGUAGGCGGAUGUGUCAGUCAGGGGUGAAAUCCCGGAGCUCAACUUCGGAACUGCCUUUGAUACAGCACGUCUUGAGUCCGAGAGAAGUGGGUGGAAUUCCUAGUGUAGAGGUGAAAUUCGUAGAUAUUAGGAAGAACACCAGUGGCGAAGGCGGCUCACUGGAUCGGUACUGACGCUGAGGUGCGAAAGCGUGGGGAGCAAACAGG
rnacentral:rRNA from 1 species